CUGCAGUCAGGCACUAUCAGAUAUUUGAAGAAGUGCUACUGGGAUCUCUGUUAAACCAACUCUGAGGAAGAUCCUCAUUUUGCCCCAUGUUUGGGUACUAUAGCCUCUCAUUCCAUGUAAAGGCUCAUGUGUGUUAUGCAUGGCACAUAUGUCAUGAGUUGCUGACCCCAGGUGUAUAGAAUAAAUUGCUAUAGUAAGCUGAUUUUGUUAACUGGGCUGUGUAUAUUAGAU